GACGAACGCUGGCGGCGUGCUUAACACAUGCAAGUCGAACGGAAAGGCCCUGCUUUUGUGGGGUGCUCGAGUGGCGAACGGGUGAGUAACACGUGAGUAACCUGCCCUUGACUUUGGGAUAACUUCAGGAAACUGGGGCUAAUACCGGAUAGGAGCUCCUGCUGCAUGGUGGGGGUUGGAAAGUUUCGGCGGUUGGGGAUGGACUCGCGGCUUAUCAGCUUGUUGGUGGGGUAGUGGCUUACCAAGGCUUUGACGGGUAGCCGGCCUGAGAGGGUGACCGGCCACAUUGGGACUGAGAUACGGCCCAGACACCUACGGGAGGCAGCAGUGGGGAAUAUUGCACAAUGGGCGGAAGCCUGAUGCAGCAACGCCGCGUGCGGGAUGACGGCCUUCGGGUUGUAAACCGCUUUCGCCUGUGACGAAGCGUGAGUGACGGUAAUGGGUAAAGGAGCACCGGCUAACUACGUG
rnacentral:rRNA from 1 species